rnacentral:rRNA from 1 species
AGCAGCCGCGGUAAUUCCAGCUCCAAUAGCGUAUAUUAAAGUUGUUGCAGUUAAAAAGCUCGUAGUUGAAUUUCGGGAUCAAGUCGUCGGUCGUGCUCAGGUACGUACUGGCGUCAUUGAUUUCUCCCUUCUGACGAACCAUGAUGUCAUUAAUUUGGUGUUAUGGGAAAUCAGGACUGUUACUUUGAAAAAAUUAGAGUGUUUAAAGCAGGCUCACGCUUGAAUACAUUAGCAUGGAAUAAUGAAAUAGGACGUUCGAUCCUAUUUUGUUGGUUUUAGGAUCAACGUAAUGAUUAAUAGGGAUAGUUGGGGGCAUUAGUAUUCAAUUGUCAGAGGUGAAAUUCUUGGAUUUAUUGAAGACUAACUACUGCGAAAGUCAUUUGCCAAGGAUGUUUUCAUUAAUCAAGAACGAAAGUUAGGGGAUCGAAGACGAUCAGAUACCGUCGUAAGUCUUAAACCAUAAACUAUGCCGACUAGGGAUCGGAUGAUGUUAAUUCUUUAANGUACUCAUUCGGCG